UGAUGGCCAGCUUGGAGGGCACAAUGGUGUUGAAUGCUGAACCAGGAAGAGCAGCAGGAAAGCCAGGGCUCACCUUCAUGAUGAUGAUGAAGAAGAUGAUGCAGUGACCUACAGCACUGUGAGAGCUCCCUCCUCUUCCUCUGCUGCCUCUGCUGAUCCCAGCCUCCUCUACGCCACCGUCAACUAACCAAGAAAGAAACCGAUGUAAUGUUUAAAACAAUAGCAUGAUCACUUGGAUCAAAGAUUUAGAGUUUAAGGGCACAGCUAGCAGAGUUUAAUCAGAUUUAUAUUAACCUUGUUUUUGCUUUUUUGGCUUAAAUGCAUCAAAGUGAGAGUACAGCAGCAGCUUUAUGAAAACAUGUGAGUCCCUCUAGAGGUGGAUUGUGAAAAAGGUUCAGACAUGUUGGAGAUUUACUGUAUUCUUAAUACUUAGAGCAUGGGCAAAAUGUUU